CUCCCCAACUUUAAUGGCUCCUCGGAAUUGUCCAAUCUAGUGUGGUUGCCUUUUUUCCUAGAGCGACCAGAGUUCAAUCCUCAGGCUCUUCGUUGGCAUGUGGCGAACAGGUCUUCUAUUGCAUGGAACCCCUUUCCCUUGAUUGAAGAGCGGUUUUUCUGACUAUUUAAUAGUUCUGUGUUUUUCUAAGUCAACAAUACAAAAAAUCAAUAGAUCUUCCAUACUCUUUGACCUAGAAAUACUAUUAGGCAUGUAUGUAAUCCAAGAAAGUCAAGGACAGAGAAAAAGGUCCUAGAUAUGCAAAAAUAGAUCGGUAGCAGCACUUUUUGUUAUAGCAAAAAAAAAAAAGUAAUCAGAAUAAGUGCCCUUCAGUUGGGGAACCGCUAAACAAAAUUGUGGUAUUUAAAUGCAAUGGAAUUGUAUUGUGCCAUAUAAAAUGAUGAAUAUGAUGGAUUCAGAGAAAUAUGGAAAGACUCGUGUGACCUGAUAGAGUGAAAUGAACAGGACCAGUAGAACAAUUUACUCAAUGAUAAUAUGAGAAGCAAUAAUUCUGAAAAACCUUCUUGGAAAAGGGGUCAAAAAAUUCAAGUUUGCCUGCAAACAUCUCCUUUCCCUCCCCAUUCCUGUGCAGGAAAAUCCUUGCCUCCAGCAUUUGGUUUCAACCCAACAUCUUGGAGCAGGAUUGCCUUCUAAUAGAACAAAGUUUGAUGAUGGAAUGCUAUAAUUGAAAAAGGUCAUUUAAUUCAAAUAAUUCCUGAGCAAAAAUCCUCUGUAUAAUACCUCUGAUGAUGUUUAUCCAGCCUCUGCUCGAAGACUUCUAAUAAAAGAGAACUCUGGGAUAGGUCCCAAUAGCUAAGAAGUUUUUCCUUUGAAAAUACAAAUUACUUGGAAAGGAAUUUUCUACACAAUAGGAAAUGUUGGGGAAAAUGCAAUGGAAAGCAAUCUAACAGAAACCUGGCAUGGACCAACAGCUUACACUAGAUUCCAAAAUAAAUUUGAAAUAAGUACAAAAUUUGAUCAUACUAUAAAAGAAUUUAAAGAGAACUUGAUUGUGUGCUUUUCACAAAUAGAUAGGAAAUGGAAUCCUUAACCAAACAAUGAGAAGCAGAAGCAAUUGCAAAAGAUAAAAUAGAUCAUUUUGUUUACAUAAACUUGGAAUGCCUUUGCCCUGGUUAUAUACCUAGUGUCUGAGGUGUAAUUCAAAUUCAUUGCUCUAUCACUAAGCCAUCUUGCUAUAAGCAGAGAACAUGAAUCUAGAAUAGAGAAAGCCAGUGACUUGGGGAAGAGGGGAAUGGUCAGGAAUUGUAUCAAAUUUCUUAGUUAAAAUUUUGACAUCAAGAUAUACACUAUAGACAACUUACAACAUAAUACCAAAAUCCAUUUUCCAAUAGAUAAUGAUGAAAGGAUAUGAACAGUUCUCAAAAGAGUUGCAAACUAUUAACAGCUAUAUAAAAGAAUGUUCCAAAUUAGUAAUAAAAAAGAUAUUAAAACCAUACUGAGGUUUCACCACAUACCCAGCAAAUUGGUAAAGAUAACAAAAAAUUGAAAUAAUCCUAGAGGGGUUGUGUGGAAAGACAGGCAUACUAAUGCAUUGUUGCUAGGGAUCCAAAUUAGGACAGCCAUUCUGAAAAAAGCCGUUUGGGAUUAAAAUGGACAAAAUAUUUAUAACCUUUGAUCCAGAGAUUCUUCUGCUAAGUAUUUACCUUGGGUAAGUCAUUGCUAAAAAGAAAGGCUUAAGGAACAACUAGAUGACUCAGUGGAUUGAGAGCCAGUCUUAGAGACCAGAGGUACUAGAUUCAAGCCUGGCUUCUGUUACUUCCUAACUAUGUAACCCUGGGCUUGUCAUUUAACCUCCAUUGUCUAAACCUUACCACUCUGGAAGAUUAAGAAUAAAAAAAUAAUAAUAAUAAUAAAGAAGGAAAGGCCUCAUAUAUGCCAAAAAUAUAAUAUAUAUGUUGUUGUAGCAAAAAAAUAAAAUCUAAGUAACUUGGAAUGAAUGAAUGACUAAACAAAUUGUGGUACAUAAAGGUGAUAGAAUAUUACUGUGCUAAAGAAAAGACAAAUUUGAUGAAUACAGAGAAGUCUAAAAAGAAUUACAUGAACUUGUAACAUUUCUGGAGCUGCUCAGUUCCCAUCCAUUCAAUUAUGGGCCUAGUCCAUAAUCUGUUCUCCUAAAAAAAUUUGUUCAGUUAUACAAAUUGGGGGAAAAAUCUUAUUGCACUGACUGAACCUAGGCUAUAUAGCUGGGAAAUUAGGCCACCUGUACCUGCUGUUUAGAGUCCCCCAAGUGCCAGAAAUGCAGGUCAGAUCUUUAAAUUGAUGUAAGGUGUUUUCUUAUAAUUGUUUAACUCAAACAACCUAUAUGUCUUAUCUGAAAACUGGCUCCAUACCAAUCAAUCAGUUAUUGUUUCUGUGUUUCAUUGAUUGUAUAUAGGCCCUUCAGAAGAGAGGGACACCUCUUUCCCUGAAUUCAGAGAAUUACAUCUAUUCACUCUCUCCCUCUGGAAAGUCCCUAAUCUUUCAUCCAAUUGGAAAUUACCUAAUGUAUUAUUUCCUUUUAAUUAAUUGGUCUUAUUUGAUUAAUUGGUUUUCAUGUAUAAAAGUCUGUCACCCCUUAUUCAGGAUCCAGCCCUAAACUCAGGAAGGAGCUUGGUUCUGAUUUUAGGCAAUUGCCAUACAUUGCUUAAUAAAUCGACAUGCCCAGAAGAUCAAACCUUUGUUUCCUCAGUCAUUUCAUCUUUUGCUCAUUACACCCAUAACAACCCUGAGGUAAGUGCUGUUAUCCCCAUUUUGCAGAUAAGGAACUUAAGAAAGACAGAGGUUAAGUGAUUUGUACAGGGUCCCUCAGCUAACAAUUAUUUUAGAUCAGACUUAAAUUUAGGCCUUCCUGACUCUAGGUCAAAUGGCCCAUCUAACUAAAGCUACUUUUAAUGAUGCAAUUUUGGCCUAAAAGGAAAUCACUUCCCCACACUUCUUUGUGGAGGAUCCACAGGCAUGUAACAUUGCAGUCAAUAAACAUUUAUUAAGUGCCUACCUAUGACCAUCCCAGUUGUAAAGGAGCUCACACUCCAACAUGCAAAUAACUAUGUACAAAUUAGAUCUAUCCAAAAUAAAAUGGAGAAAAUUAACAGAGGGAAGGCAUUAGCAUUAAGCAAGAUUAUUAAAGGCUUUUUGUAGAAGGUGGAAUUUUUUGGGGGACUUGAAGAAAGUCAGGGAAGCCAGAAGAUGGAGGUGAAAAGGGAAAGAAUAACAGGCCUAGGAGAUGGCCAGUGAAAAUGCCUGGAGUCCAGGGAGAUGGAAUGUCUUUUUCAUUUUUAUUUUUUAUUAAUUUUUUUGGGAAAUGUUUAUUGAUGAUUUAGAUAUAGAUGAUUUAGAAUAUUUUUCCAUGGUUACAAGACUCAUGUUCUUUCCCUCCACCCCACCCCCUCCUGAUUCUAACAAUUCCACUGGGCUUUACAUAUGUCAUUGAUCAAGACCUAUUUCCAUAUUAUUAAUAUUUGCACUAGGGUGAUUGUCUAGAGUCUACAUCCCCAACCAUAUCCCCAUCUACCCAUGUGAUCAAGCAGUUGUUUUUCUUCUGUGUUUCUACUCCCACAGUUCUUCCUCUGAAUGAGGAUAGUGUUCUUUCUCAUCAGUCCCUCAGAAUUGUCCUGGAUCAUUGCAUUGCUGCUAGUAGAGAAGUCCAUUACAUUCCAUUGUACCACAGUGUAUCACUCUGUGAACAAGUUCUCCUGGUUCUACUCCUGUCCCUCUGCAUCAAUUCCUGAAGGUUGUUCCAGCUCACAUGGAAUUCCUCCAGUUCAUUAUGGAAUGUCUUUUUCAAACAACAAGGAGGAGAAGGGGUCAUAAAAGAGCCACUGCAGUGCCAAGGAGAGUACAAAGAGCAAUCUGUACAGUACCUGUGAGCACAAGGUCAAAGAGACCAAAUCAAUGCUGGUGGGAUUGAUAUGAAUCUGCACCAAGACAGAGGACUUUUUUGGGGGGUUUGAAGAAGUGGCUGUUUAACAACAGAACAUGCAGGACUUCCCGGUGCCAGAUCCAAACAAAGUAUCUCAAUCUAGCAACAAUGUUGGCUCCCCUAACCCUAAGAAUGAAGGUAAAAUCAGAACAGGAAAACAUACUUCCCUUUUACAUAAAAAUCUAGUCCUUUUUUCUUUCUUAUAGUAUGACAACUUCCUAUAGUCUUGGCUGCUGAUUGGGUAAGAGCAUAUUGCUGCAAUGGUCCUACAGGCUUGUGAGACAUGGAUCACUUUAUUGGGCCCUGAUUCUAGGACCCGUUAUAGGCUUACUCUUGCCUAUUCAAAAUUUUUAUAUACUAUUUAAUUUUGACUUUUUUUCUUUUCUUCUAUUUUUUUUUCAUUUUUUUACUUCCUUUUAACAAUUGAUUCAUAUUCAUAACUUAGUCAUAUAUCCCUAGGUGAUCCAAGUGUUUGUCAACACCCUCCUCAGGAGGGAUUGUAUAAUUGUCAAAUAAUUCUACAUUUAUAAAAAAAUUUCUUGUUUAAGAGUAAUUUUAAAAUAAGAAACUUGCUAUCACCCCAAAUCCAGCAAGAGAACUGUUUGGAGAAGGCAACAUAAAGAUGCUUGCAGAAGCUAUAGACUACACCAAAAGAUCCAGAAUGAACUUUGGGAUGUAGUGAAAUUGAACUGGGGGGAGCGGGGUUGAAUGCAUUCAUUUUUAAUGUACACUCUUAUGACAAAGCCCCCCUGAUUGGCUUUUUGUCAGUGUGUCAUUGCUUUUGUUCUCUUUCUCUUUUAUUUCUCUUAUGUUCCCAAAUUAUUGUAAUUUCUCCUUAGAAAGUGCAAUAUUGCAUGUACCUCUAGUUGAAGUUUUUAGGGGCAUAAAAUAGUUAUGUUUAAAUAAUCCAUUGGGGAGACUACUCUCCCAAAGAAUCACCAAGGGAUUGUGUAAUUAGAAUAUGUUACCCUAAAAACUACAAUUCCCAGCUUCCCACUCUCUUCCUGUCAUUACCUGGUGACAUAAAUAGGAUAUAAAUUCUGUGGAGUUCUAUCUCACUCUCUUCUCUUCCUAUCUCAGUUUUGGUAGAGUGGGCUUUUUGAGCAGGUAGAAAAACUUAGUCAUGUGGUUCUAUUUGUUAGAUAAUAAACUUUAUAAAAUAUAAUAAUUGAAGUAUUGGACAUUUAUUUAUUUAUUUUAAUUUUUUUUAAACCUUUACCUUCUAUCUUGGAAUCAAUACUGUGUAUUGGUUCUAAGACAGAAGAGUGGUAAGGGUUAGGCAAUGGGGGUCAAGUGACUUACCUAGGGUCACACAGCUAGGAAGUGUCUGAGGCCAGAUUUUAACCCAGGUCCUCCUAUCUCUGGGCCUGGCUCUCAAUCCACUGAGCCACCUAGCUGUCCCAUGGAUAUUAAUUUAAAUCCUACAUUUGUUAGAAAAAUGCAAAUCAAAACAAUUCUGAGAUAACAUCUCAUCCCUAUCGGAUUGGCUAAAAUGAUAAAACAAGCAAAAUUACAAAUGUUGGAAGGUAUUUAGGAAAAUGGGGACCCUAAUAUAUUGUUGGGAGAAGUGUGAACUUAUCCCACCAUUUUGAAGAGCAAUUUCAAAUUAUGCUAAAAUAUUUCUAAAACUAUAUACCCUCAGACACAGCAAUAUCACUGUUGGGGAAGAGAUCAGGGAAAAAGGAAAAGGACCUAUAUUGAUGAUUACGAACCUAUGACACAUGUGCCAAAUUUGGCAUGCAGAGUGCUAUCUGUGCACCACCACCACCACCCCAGUUCAUUACUAGAAAGGCAGAGGGACUCUGGCCUCCCCCUCUCCACCAUGUCUGACAACAUUUUUGACAUCACCUGUCCCUUUGCCCAGCAGCCCAACAGGAGUGCACAGAGGGUUAGGUGGGCGGCUCAGAGGCAGCAGAGCUGGAGGGGAGCAGAGAGCUCAGGCCACUCCUCUCCCCCUCUCUACACUCACUGAGGACAUUCCUCAAUUCACCCGCCCCUCUGUCCAGCAGCCCAAUGGGAGUGCUUUCUUCCCCUCCCCUGUGUAGGAGGGGGGCACACGGCACGUCAUACAGUCUGGUGGGGCAGGGCAUGACAUGUGGACUUUUAAAGGUUGACCAUUAUUGAUCUAUAUGUUCCGAAAUAUUUCUAUUAACUCUCUUUGUGGUGGCAAAGAACUGGAAAUUGAAAAGAAGUCCAUCAAUUAAGAAAUGGCUGAACAAGUUGUGGUAUAUGAUUGUGAUGGAAUACUACUAUGUCAUAAGAAAUGAUUAGCAGGUUAAUUAAAAAAAAACAACUUGGAAAGAACUACAUGAAAUAAUGAAGAGCAAAAUAAGUAGAAAUAAGAGAACAUUAUAUAUAGCUAUAGAAAUAAUAUUUGAAGAACUUGUGAAUAUCUACCUCCAGAGAAAGAACUGAUCAAUGCUAAUAAACAGGAACAUGAAAGACAUAAUUACAUAUACUUUUUUUUGGUGAGGUGAUGUCUUCAUUGGUGUGGGGAGGGGAGAGAAAGAGUGAAAUACUUGGAAAUUUGGACAUAACCAAAAACGAAAUUAAUUUUUUAAAUAUCAUUUCACUUUUUUAAGUUAUUGGACCCCAGUUUAAGAAUACUUAGACUAUGAUCUCUGAGGUCUCUCCUAAAUUAACUUCUAUUUUUUUUUAAUGCUGGAAUAUUGCUCCCCUGAACCUUCAAUUAACACCAAAUUUAUUUUUUUUCAAUUAACAAAAAAUCUAUUCACCUGCCCACAUCCCCCCCCACUGCCAUUGAAAAAAGAAAAUAAAAUCUACUUAACAAAUAUGCAUAAGUCAAGCAAAACAAAUUCCCUCACAGACCAUGUCCAAUUAUACAUAUGCCACCUGAGUUUAUCCCUUCUCUCAAUCAGAAGAGGGUGGCAUGUUUCAUCAUGAGUCUUCUAGAAUCACAGUUGGUCAUUUUGUUGAUUAGAGUUCCUAAGUCUUUCAAAGUUGUUUGGCUUACAGUAUUGUUAUUAUAUAACUUGUUCUCCUGGUUCUUUUCACUUCACUCUGUAUCAUUUCAGACAAGCCUUUCCAGAUUUCUCUGAAACUGUCCCUUAAUCAUUUCUUAUUAGCCCUUUACAUUCAUAAUUUGCUCAGCCAGGGGAAUGGCUGAAUCAGUGGGCACCCUACUUGUUUCCAGUUCUUUGCCAACACAGAAAUUGCUAGUAUAAGAUUUUUUAUGUAUGAAUCUUUUUUCUUUCUUUGAUCUUUUUGUGGUAUAGAACUAAUAGCACACACAUACUUUCAAUAUAAAUGUAAUGAGUGUUGUCCUGCAGGAGAAAGAGCUAUUUCAAAAAAGAUUUCAAUGUUCCUGGCUCCACAUGUUCAUUUGCAGCUUCUUAUGUGUAAAAAUUAAUCUCUAAUAAAAAUAUUAUAUUUUAAGAGAUUUAUUAAUGAUCAUUAGAAAUCAAGGAAUAAAGAAGAUACAAAAUAAAGAUCACGUGCCCAUGGCGCAUCAGCCAGUUCAAACACCUGCCUUAACACCACCAAUCUCCGGAUAGGAAAUAAAGAAGUGGGACCUUCCAUGUCCCCUCCUAAUAUCCCCUACGUAUAGAAAGUACGUAAUGACAGGAAGUCAGUGGGAUGCUGGGAAAUGUAGGGUUUUUUUAGGUGACAGAUUUUCAAUUAUACAUAUGUUUAUAUUUAUGUUAUCUUUUCAGUAACUAUCCCUGCCUCUAGUCGCUCCUCUAUUCAAUCUAUCCUAUACAUCAUUAACAGAAUGGCUUUCUUAAUGCACCACUUAGGUCAUGUCAAACAUCUCUCCCCCUCAAAAACCAUCAGUUGUACUCCAUUUUAUCCCACAUAAAAUUCAGACUUUUCAAGCAUCUCUCCAUAUUCGUCUAACAUAUUCGAGAUUUGGGGGAGGGGGGAAAUUCUCUCUUCCUAGAAUGUCAUCCUUCCUUCCCUCUCCUCAUCUCUCAACCGUGCCUGGAACCUUCUGUCUCCCUAUCUUGACUACCUAGCUUCCCUCACUUCUUUUAUAUCUUACCUAAAUUCCACCUUCUGUAAGAAUCCUUUCUUGGUUUCUCUUAAUGUCAGUGCCCUCCCUCUAUUGAAUUUAUAUGAAAUUUACCCCAUAGUUGUUGCCUGUGACCUCCUUAAAAGUAAAAAUUGUCUUUUGCCUUUCUCUGUAUCCCCAAUAUUUAGUGCAGUGGUGGGCACAUAGUUGACCUUUAAUAAAUGUUUGUUGACUGGCUGAGUGACCACUACUAUACCUCUAAAUCAACGGUUCUAUCUGUGGGUUGGGAGCCCAGUGGGGGUCCAACGACCAAAACACAGGGGUCACUUAAAGCCAUUGGAAAAUACAUAUUUCUGAUGGCUUUAGCCACUGAGAACUUGUGCUAUUUUAUAGCAAGAUCUUGGAAAGCACGGGGACCCUGCUGUCCGCACAUUGUACUAAUAUUAGUUGCCUAUUAGCAGCCCUCCCCCUAUGAGGGGCUAUGGAUUUACCCUGUUGCCUGGAGACCUGACUCAAACAGAGACCCAGAGAGAGCACCAGGGUGCUGGCUCCGAAGGGGUUAAGAACGAGUCCUGGAGGGGAUAACUCCUGGAGUGGUAACCCCAGCCAAGUAACCCCAGCAAAGUGAAGCCUCAUCUCUGAGCUGGAGGUAGAGGACAGGAAGAAGGCAGGGUCUGCGGACCCCCUCCCCAGGCAGGACUUACCUCCCACCCCAGUGCUCAGGCUGCCUCCUGCUGGAUUAAUAUUUCUCAACAUAUAAUUAAAUAUUGUUUUUGUGAUUAA